AUUGAACGCUGGCGGAAUGCUUUACACAUGCAAGUCGAACGAUGAAGCCUAGCUUGCUAGGUCGAUUAGUGGCGAACGGGUGAGUAAUAUAUCGGAACGUAUCCAAUAAUGGGGGAUAACUAGUCGAAAGAUUGGCUAAUACCGCAUACGUCCUACGGGAGAAAGCUGGGGAUCGUAAGACCUGGCGUUAAUGGAGCGGCCGAUAUCUGAUUAGCUAGUUGGUGAGGUAAAGGCUCACCAAGGCGACGAUCAGUAGCUGGUCUGAGAGGACGACCAGCCACACUGGAGCUGAGACACGGUCCAGACUCCUACGGGAGGCAGCAGUGGGGAAUUUUGGACAAUGGGCGAAAGCCUGAUCCAGCCAUUCCGCGUGAGUGAAGAAGGCCUUCGGGUUGUAAAGCUCUUUCGCAAGGGAAGAACACUUACUUAAUAACACUAAGUGAGGUUGACGGUACCUUGAUAAGAAGCACCGGCUAACUACGUGCCAGCAGCCGCGGUAACAC
rnacentral:rRNA from 1 species